AGAAGACUAGACAAGCACUCGCCACACACCUCUCUCAGGCAUCACCCGACACUCGCGUCUCUCACAUCGAGCUGUUACCGGGCAGAGUUUUGAGACGUGUAUUUCUUCCUUCUAAGUGUUCCUGUUCAACACCCUGAGAUGCGUUGGCUUGUUCAAGUGUUCCUUGUUGUGGUGGUGGCAGUGCUAGUCCCUGCGAUGAGGCUGUCGACACCCAUAGUGAGAUCCAAGGCAGGACUACUAAAUGGGGCGGUGGACACAAUAAAAUGCAAGGAAAUGUGUCACAAAAUGGUGGAAGGAGAUUGUUGGAGGGACUUAAACUGCGAAAUCAAGAUGAAAAUGAGACAAAGGGGACGUUAUUCCUAGCCUUAAACCACAACUCAGCACCAAUAAAAUCUAAGCAAUGAAGGAGUAAGAAUCCAAGAAAGACCCCCCAUGAAGGAGCCGAGCUGUGUAACACGCAACACUUCCACUGACCCAUCUGUACUUGUACUUUAAGACAAAACUCUCUCUCUCUCUCUCUCUCUCUCUCUCUCUCUCUCUCUCUCUCUCUCUCUGGAUGGAUGGAUGGAUGAAUGGACAGAUAAACACAACAUAUAAUAUAGAUAGAUGAUAAUAAAGAAGAGCAUUUACUGUUAUGAACGGUGUGUCUUUGUCAAGUAAAAGAAUAGUAAUCUUUCUUCGGCCAAGCAAUCUUGCUGAUAAAUUGUAUGGAAUUAUUUCUAACAAAUGGGUUGUUAAAUUCACAAUAAACUUGAUUAGGUUU